CGAGGCGCCUGGCCCGUGUGGGGGCGGGGAGAAGGCCGCGACCGUACGGUCGCCGCGCCCAAGCAGGAAGCUGGCAAGUGGAAGCCCGAGUCCCGCGCCCACUUUCGGACCGCGCGGCGCGCCAGGGGCGGGGGACCCGCGGGCUUCUUCCCGCCUUCGCUCCCUGCGGAGCGCGGGCUGGUCCCGCGCUCCGGAGGAUCUGGCCAAGUCGCCUGAGGACAAGUUGGUCGCAGACUCUAACCCUGAGAGGCGGGGCAGCCAGGUGCAGCCUGCGGGGCAGUGCCGAGACUGCCAGCGCGUCGCAGGUGGUGGCACCGGGCGGAGGGACAGGGCUCACUCUCUCCCUAGGCCGCGGUUCAUGGUGCAAGAUGGCUGUAUUUUGUAAGCCUCUGAAACAAUGUGCAACACAGCUGUAGCUGUAUAAGCCAGAGUGGGCCUUUCCACUCCUUCCCCUUUGGAGGAUCGCUGGAGACAUCUCGUGACAUAUAGUCUAAUGUCAGCGACAAGAGGCUGAAACGGCAGGAAACUAAAAUAUUUGUUGCUGGAUUUAUCCAAGAAGGCUGUUACAUAUCAAUUGAAUCAGUCAUAUCUUCAAGAAAUGUUUGUUUCCUGCCAGUAAGAACAUAAACUCUAGAAACUGUUUUGCCCGUUUCUUCUACUGAAGCAUCACCACACCGCAUACAUACUAACACAUUGGUUUGGAGCCCUUUUUCUGUUAGCUGUACGCAUUAGGAAAUCUUACCCACUCCCGUGGAUGCUGUCAUACACAAAGGAUAUCCAAAUGUGAAAAACUGAGCCCCUCAGAGUCUGACACGUUCCACCAGCAGGUGAAGUGAUUCAUGGCCGCUCCGCCAGGGCAAGCCGUCGCCAUUUAUGUUCGCCAAUCUCAGUGCUCGCUAAGUGACUGAUGGCUUCUGCUCUUGCCAUUCCUUCCAGCUCAGACACUCUUGGAUGGUGACUGUGCUCACAGAGUAGACUAGAUACCCUCCAGAACUCUAUACGUGAAGACAUGUGGAUCAUCCUGGCCCAGCUUAAAUGAACUGGAUAAGUGUAGGUCUGCCUUGAGGAAUGAGUGAUGGAAAAAAAAAUUUUUUUUUAAAGCAGAAGCUCUGUACUCCAAGCUAGCUUCUUAAUUUACAGCCUCAAGUUCUGGGAUUAUAGGUGUGCCCCACCUAUAGUGAAUCCACAUGACUCCUAGUGAAUCCAGGCACACAGAGGGUAUAAUGAAGCCCUUCUUUCCUACCUUCUCCUUAAGAUGCUGAGGCUGAAAUCCAAGACUUCACACACACUAAACAGGAUCUCUACCACUGGGCUCAAUGAUAGGCUAAGGUAAGAAGAGAAAUAUGUAAAUCUAUUACUUUGUUUUUUUAGCCUACAAGUUAAAAAGAAGCAGGUAAACGCUAAAGGAAAAGUGUCAUUAUAAGAGGGCUGUGUCUAAGUAGCGGUGGCACACAACUUUAAUCCCAGUCCUGGGAGGCAGAGGCAGGAAGAUCUCUGUGAGUGCAGAGCCAGCCUGUUCUAAAUAGUAAGUUCCAAGACAGGGAUAUGCAGAGAGACCUUGUCUCAAAAGAAAGUAUUUCCUGAAUUGAGUGUGGUGGCACCUGCCUAUAAUCCCAGCACUCGGGGUAGCAGCAUCCCUAGUAUGUGACAACCUGUCACAAACAAGUAUUCCCUUUUUAAAGUUUUUAGUGUAGAAAGUAAUGGCAGUGGAGGGAAGGGGUGGCCCACACCUUUAAUCCCAAGACUUGGGAGGCAGAGGCAGGCAGACUUCUGAAUUCCAGUCCAGCCUGGUCUACAGAGUGAGUUCCAGGACAGCCAGGGCUGUACAGAGAAACCCUGUCUCCAAGAAGUAAAAUGUGUGUGUAUGUGGUGUGAUUACACUUUGUUCUACUGGACCUCCCUUCCCUGUUUUCCUCCCCAUGCCUCUGGUCUCAGCACCUCCAUUCCUUUCUCCAGUGACACUCCCCCCUCUUCUGCUCAUGUCAUAGAUGUCCGAUUGCCUCUUAAAAGUAUUGCCCUCAAUCUGGGCAUGGUGACAUACACCUAUAGUCUCAGCACUAGGGAGGCAGAGGCUGGACAGUGUUUUAAGUCAGCCUGGGCUACAUAGCUAAAGAUGGAGAGAUAGCCCAGUAGUUACAGGUACUGGCUACUCUUUCAGAGGAGCCUGUUUCAGUUCUCAUCCACAACGGUUGUGUCCCCUAGUCCCCAGGGAUCCAAUGCCCUCUUCUGGUGUCUAAGGCACCAGGUGUACACAUGCAGUCAAAACACAUAAAAGAAAUACAAAAGUUAAAAAUAGACCAAAAAAAAUCCUUCUUUUUUCCUCCACAGGGUUUCUCUGUGUAGCCUUGGCUGUCCUGGAACUCACUCUGUAGACCAGACUGACCUCAAACUAAGAGAUCUACCUGCUUCUGCCUCCUAAGCAUUGAUAUUAAAAGUGUGUGCCACCAAUGCUCAACUUUUCUUUCUGAUCCAAAUCAGACUAAUUGUCCAGUUCAAGAAAUGCAGGGGCAAGCCGGGCAGUGGUGACAUACGCCUUUAAUCCCAGCACUUGGAAGGCAGAGACAGGUGGAUUUCUGAGUUCUAGCCCAGCCUGGUCUACUGAGAGAGUUCCAGGACAGAGCCAGGGCUACACAGAGAAACCCUGUCUGGAAAACAAAACAAAAAACAACCAAAAAACAACAACAACAACAAAAAA